UACGGGGGGUGCGAGCGUUGUCCGGAAUCACUGGGCGUAAAGGGCGCGUAGGUGGCGUGAUAAGGGUGUGGUGAAAGCCCGGGGCUCAACCCCGGGUCUGCCAUGCCGACUGUCAGGCUGGAGUACUGUAGGGGCAGGCGGAAUUCCGGGUGUAGCGGUGGAAUGCGUAGAGAUCCGGAGGAAGACCGGUGGCGAAGGCGGCUUUCUGGACCGUAACUGACGCUGAGACACGAAAGCGUGGGUAGCAAACAGG
rnacentral:rRNA from 1 species